rnacentral:rRNA from 1 species
AUUGAACGCUGGCAGCAGGCUUAACACAUGCAAGUCGAGCGGGGUGAUGGUGCUUGCACUAUCACUUAGCGGCGGACGGGUGAGUAAUGCUUAGGAAUCUGCCUAUUAGUGGGGGACAACAUCUCGAAAGGGAUGCUAAUACCGCAUACGUCCUACGGGAGAAAGCAGGGGAUCACUUGUGACCUUGCGCUAAUAGAUGAGCCUAAGUCGGAUUAGCUAGUUGGUGGGGUAAAGGCCUACCAAGGCGACGAUCUGUAGCGGGUCUGAGAGGAUGAUCCGCCACACUGGGACUGAGACACGGCCCAGACUCCUACGGGAGGCAGCAGUGGGGAAUAUUGGACAAUGGGGGGAACCCUGAUCCAGCCAUGCCGCGUGUGUGAAGAAGGCCUUAUGGUUGUAAAGCACUUUAAGCGAGGAGGAGGCUCUUUUGGUUAUACCCAAGAUGAGUGGACGUUACUCGCAGAAUAAGCACCGGCUAACUCUGUGCCAGCCGCCGCAGUAA